CCUANGGGAGGCAGCAGUGGGGAAUAUUGCACAAUGGGGGAAACCCUGAUGCAGCAACGCCGCGUGAAGGAUGAAGGUUUUCGGAUUGUAAACUUCUUUGAUUGGGGACGAAUAAUGACGGUACCCAAAAAACAAGCCACGGCUAACUACGUGCCAGCAGCCGCGGUAAUACGUAGGUGGCAAGCGUUGUCCGGAGUUACUGGGUGUAAAGGGCGUGUAGGCGGGAAGAUAAGUCAGAUGUGAAAUUCCAUGGCUCAACUGUGGCGCUGCAUCUGAAACUAUUUUUCUUGAGUGAUGGAGAGGAAAGCGGAAUUCCUAGUGUAGCGGUGAAAUGCGUAGAUAUUAGGAGGAACACCAGUGGCGAAGGCGGCUUUCUGGACAUUAACUGACGCUGAGGCGCGAAAGCGUGGGGAGCAAACAGGAUUAGAUACCCUGNUANUC
rnacentral:rRNA from 1 species